ACUUAACAAUCAAUAUCCACAGAUAAAUGCAAUGGUUUCUAAACAACUGAUUGUCUCACCACCUUAUGAAGCUGUUCUUGCCCUGUGAGAGGUGACAUGCAUAAGGACGUCCUAGUUUUUCCCUGCAUUGACCUUCCACUGAAGGGGAGGGUGUUACAGAGGCUCUCAGUGUCUCUUAUUCUCAGUUACCAGUCUGCAGUCAUCCACUGCAGUUACCACUGCGAAAGGAGCUUCUUUGUCCAUAGCAACACGGAUCACGGACAACCACACAGCCUCUAGCGGCGUCAUGGACCAUGGACAUCAACAUGACUUCUGGAUGCAUUGUAGAUCAUGGACAUCAACGUAGACUCCAGUGGCAGCAUGGACUCUGAGCAUCAACUUGACUUCUGUAGUUAGCAUGGAUCAUGGACAUUCACAUGGCCUGUGGCUGCAGGCCUGUGGCAGCAGCAAGAACCACAGAUACUAGCAUGGCCUCCAGGACCAGCACAGAGCAUGGAGGUCUUUCAAGUAGUCAGAAAAUGAACUGUUCUUCAUCUCAGAUACCUUGUUGCUCAGAAUCAUUGCGUGCGGUUUGGCAGUGCAUUUGGGGGCAGUACCUGCAUGAUCUCCAGGCUGCUGCGCACCUUCUGGCCCCAGGCUUGCCCCUGCGAGCCGGGCAAGCAGAGCGAGCAGAGCGAGCAUGCAGGGAGAGCAGUUGCCUGCUUCUUGAGUCCCACUUCUCUGCACUGUGCACAACGUCCUGUUGCACCAUCUUUUCUUUUUUUUUCCCAAUUUCAUAAAACCUCUUUUUAAAAGCAUCUUCUUCCCAUUUGUUCCCAUUGUUUGGGAUACUUUGCAUGCUCUUCAGGGUCAUCCUCCCGCUCGAAGCCUCUGUGGGUCUUGCAGGCACCUCAGAAUGGCCACCAUCUUGAAUCAAGUUCCAACCACCUUCCUCUUUCUUAUCUGUAGCUUUCUCUUCUCUAGUCAUAACACAUGUAGCUUUGUUAUCCCUAAUACAUUUAUUUUGUUGUCUUAUCAAGUCAUUUAAUUUUGGGUAUUUUCUGUCUUGAUUUUUAGGGGCACUAGAAUUAUGUAAUUUUAUUUGUCUCACUGAUGUCAUAGUCUGAAAUGAUUAAGCAUCCAAGUAAACAGUGACAUUAGUAGAUAAUAACCUGUCGAGUCAUAUGUCAACGGAUCAAUCAGCUAAAAUUGUGUUUUCUUUCCGUUCCUGUUCUUGAAGUUGUGUUGCAGUUUGGAUUUAGUUAUAAUCAUGAUGUCAGCUAGUAUAAGAAUCAUUGCGAACACUCCACAUCCAGUUUCUCCAGGUUUUCUGUAUACUUGACUUGUUUUAAUCAGGCUUCAAUUUUUUUCAUGUUUCUUUUUCCUGUCAACUCUUUACUUCUAUCUUUUGUAGCCUGACGAUGGCUGACAAGAAUUCACCGUAUGAAUAUUGCUCUUACUGAGGACUUUCAAUGUGGCAACUUAAACAAAUGAUGUACGUCUGAAGUGACAGAUAUUCCAACCUGAUUAUUACACAUUAUAUACUUGUAUCAAAAUGCACUGCACCCCAUUAAUGUGGGGGAAUUUCUGUGUGUCAAUUUAAAACAAGUUAAUAAAA